AGAGUUUGAUCAUGGCUCAGGAUGAACGCUGGCGGCGUGCCUUGGGCAUGCAAGUCAUACGGUCCCUCUUUGCGGAGAUAGUGAGAAAGUAGCAAUACAAUCAAUCUAUUGAAGUGUUGAGGAGAUAGUGGCGAACGAGGUAGUAAUAGACAGGAACCUCCCCCCGAGCCAGGAAUAAUCCCGCGAAAGCGGGACUAAUACCUGAUAGUCUCUACGGAGUAAAGUCGCAAGACGCUUGGGAAAGGGCCUGUCCAGUAUCAGCUAGUUGGUAGGGUAAUGGCCUACCAAGGCAACGACACUUAGGGGAGCUGAGAGGCUGACCCCCACCGAUGGGACUGAGACACGGCCCAUACACCUACGGGUGGCUGCAGUCAAGAAUCUUCCACAAUGGACGAAAGUCUGGUGGAGCGACGCCGCGUGAUGGAUGAAGUCCCUCUGGGACGUAAACAUCUUUUGUCGAGGAGAAAGUAAUUGAUAGUACUCGAAGAAUAAGGGGUUGCUAAACUCGUGCCAGCAGCAGCGGUAAUACGAGUGCCCCAAGCGUUAUCCGGAAUCAUUGGGCGUAAAGGGUGUGUAGGUGGUCAGGUUAGUCUUCUGUCAAAUUCUUCGGCUUAACCGGGGGUCUGCGGAGGAAACGGCCUGACUCGAGAAUGCAAGGGGUGAAUGGAACUCAUGGAGUAGGGGUGAAAUCCGUUGAUAUCAUGGGGAACACCAAAAGCGAAGGCAAUUCACUGGGGCAUUUCUGACACUGAAACACGAAAGCGUGGGUAGCGAACUGGAUUAGAUACCCUAGUAGUCC
rnacentral:rRNA from 1 species